AACGCACAUUGCGCCCUUUGGUAUUCCUUAGGGCAUGCCUGUUCGAGCGUCAUUUAAACCCUCAAGCUUUGCUUGGUGUUGGGCGUUUGUCCCGCCUCUGGCGCGGACUCGCCUCGAAAACAUUGGCGGUUGGUGUACCGGCUGAACUUAA
rnacentral:misc_RNA from 1 species